ensembl:lncRNA
CCUCCUCCUCACCCCUCGAGGAGGAGGCGGCACACAGCUCCUGCACAUUCCUCUCCUCCCUUGAACCUCAUCCCCCGUUUGUGGGGCUUGUACCACAGAUCACCUCCCUCCACGUCCCACAUGAGGAGACCGAGGCUCACAGAGGGGCUUGACUUGCUCAGAGGCCCACAGAGGAGAGACCCCUUCCCCUCCCAGCCAGAGGCCCUGUCCAUCUGCCUUCACCCCACCUACAGACACACCUCUGAACAAGGUCAUGUCCUCUGGACUCUCGGGGUGUGAGCAGACCCUCAGCCAGGCUGAGCCAUGGAUGACAAGGGGCAGGGUGUCUCAGAGAGCCUGUCCAAGUGGCAUCUACCUGUCCCAGCCCCCUGGGAUUCUCUGACCCCAGGCUAUACCUGAGGCCAUGCCAAAGGCCUCAGCUCCCUAGGAUCCCUCAGGAUGUUCCCCUGAACAGAACUCUCUUUUCAUCCACUCAGGAAGGUGACCCCUAGUGCCACAUCUGAGUGACAGUUACAGGGUGACCAGGGCACUGGUUGAUGGUGACAUUUGCUUCCUUUUGUUCUUGGAAACUUCUAACAUCCAGUCAGGAAGGUCCACGAAGAAUCUACUGGAUCCCCCGAUACUCUCAUUGCCAUCUGGGGCAUGUGCCCUGCCAACAAGGCACCAAGUGAGAACCCCACUGGGUAUGUCAGCAGUGACCACUAUCAGGGCACAGUGGGGAGUCCCAGAGAGCACACAGUUCUGUCCCAGGUCCACCAUUCAUCCCAUGCUGGGCAGUGCCCAUGUCCACCUGGCCCAUGGGACCACGCAGUGCCCAUCCCUGGGGCAGGCAGGGUGCCCUGUCCUUGGACGUGCAGCAAAGACAGAAGGAGCAUCAGGGGCCUGGCUUCCUGAGGACAGACAGGGCUGCUUUAGGAAGAAAAGAAUCCCCACCCCCUCCAUCCACCCACAGCCUGGAGAGAGUCAAGUGCCGGCUGAUGGACCCACAUGGGAGCCAGAGACCUGCUCAUCCUGCUGGCUCCUCUCCCUCCUGGACAGUCCAGCCAACACCUCUGGGCCCCAUGACCAAGGCCUCCUGUCCCUAACUGCCCCCACCCAUCCACGCAGCUAACACCUCUCUUCCUGUCAAUCAGAACAAUAUAGAUGGUUAUUCCUCAGAGAAACUUUAAGGGAAAAACCCAGCAAAGCACAUCCUGCCUGCUCCCUCCUCCCCUCACCCCUCCCCUCCUUCCAGAUCUGCAGCCUCCACUCACCUCCAUGAGCAGCUUCCUGCUCACCUGCUGGUCCUUGGUGCACAAUUCUGUAAAAUUUUUGAGAGCUCUUCCCGAGGGGGGAAAAGGAAUGAAAACCUGUGCAGUGGUUUAAGGGUAAAUCCUUGUUUUUGAAAACCCAGAAUAUCCAAACAUCCUGGAUAAGCGUUUUCCCUGGGUCCUCUGAGCCCUGGGGUCUCCACAGGACUGGGGAGGGGGCUCUCCCGGUGUCACCUGGGCCUCCAUUCCUGUAACUCCUGAGCAGGUGUGUUUUCAAACAUCGUGGUUUCAGCUGGACGGAGAGUUCUGUUGCUGCAAAGCAAAUACUUGAAAAUCUUCAAUUUGCCUCAACCCAGGACCUGACAUUCAGGGACACUGAUUCCUGAAGCAGAAGCCCCCGGCCUAAGUUUCCAGAGAGACUCAGAGUCCGCCAGCCAGGUGAUGCUCACAUGAAGAGAGGCCUACCCACCUGGAAACGUGUCCCCAUGUCUUUUUGAGCCUAUGGAUCGUGCAGCUCUGCAGAGCAGAGAGGAUGGCGUGCAGUGGAGGGAAGUUCCUCAGGCCUUGGCACUCCUGGGGAAGGGAAGAGAGUGAGCUGGUGAGGAGAGCUGGAGCCCUACUGCCUCUGCCUUUAGUCCCCUCAUGGACAUCUCCUGUCUUGGAUGAGACACAUGCUGAGGAACCCAGUGAGGGCACCCCUGGGACCUGAUGAGUAGCAUUCCCAGGUUGGAGAAUUUGAGCUCAACCCAAGGAAGGAGCCCAGGAAGAAGUGAGGUUCCCACGCUGGCACCAGGAGUCAAGGUCAGUGAGGCCCCGGCAGGAGGGGCCUGGGGACUGUGCAAGGGCUCAGAGCACAGACUUCAAUCCUGAGAGCUGAGGAAGGAGAAGGGGCAGUUUCCAUGACUCCAGAGAGGGGCUUCCUGGGCCGCCCAGAAGGUACCUUGGACACGUGGAUCCAGAGCUCCACCACCCUGGCCCUGUCCUGGGCUGUCAUGCUCAGGUCCCCCAGGCAGGUGGUGACAACACAGUUGACCACUGUGAUAAACUGGGUGAUGGUGGCACGGAUGGUGCAUGCCAGGUGCUCAUUGCCCCUGCUGUCCCAUGGGGACCAGAUGGAGUCUAGACAGUGGGGGGGAUCACUUUCUUGAACAGCUCCUGGGGAGGAAGAGAGUGUCACCCAGCCCUGUCACAUGCCUGCUCCAUGUCCACAGUCCACAGUCCCAGGCAGAGUCAGUGGUCAGAGCUGGAGCUCAGGAAGCUGAGGAUGUGGCCUGGGGCUUGUGGGGGUCCCUGGGUUUUGUCUAUGCCCACUGAGGGCACCCAGCACAGGAUGACCCAGGAGCAAUAGUGCGGGGAAGGAAAGUGGCAUUCGCUCCCAGCCCAGUCUCACUACUACAGGCACCAGAACCCCGCUGAUACUUGACGAUCGCCCACCUUUUCUGAUCACCCUGGGGCCAGACUCCUCGUUCAGAUGUGCAGUCCUCCCCAGGAGUGACAAUCACAAUCUUUGUAUGUUUGUCUCCCAGGUAGUCAUGUACUUAUGAGGUGCCUAAUAAUUGCUAAGGCUGUUGAUGCCUCCUGUGCAAAUGGAUGACCCACCCAAGGACCUGACAGCCCUUCAGUGACCUCCCCUCCCCUGCCAAAGGGCCAGACUCUGCCCACCUUCCUCUCUGUUCCGCCUCAUUCGUCUGCACAGCCGCUAUGCCUGGCAGAUGCUCUUUUGUCCAUGUCUAGUGUCCACAUGCGGACAGCACAGGCUUGGGAGUUAAGAGGUUGCCCAGGGCACAUGUGUGUAAGUGGGAAAGCUGGGAUUGGAUGUAGGACAUGGGAUUCUGGAUCAGGAAACAGCAGGUCUUGGGCCUCUGAUGGCACAGGGAAGGCCGGCCCCACCUGCCCUGAGAGCCCUGCUGCUCACCGCAUCCAUCAGUGUAAAUUGCUCUGCAAUCAGCUGGGGAGGGAACUCCAGGAAGUCAGGCUUCUGCUCCCACAGCAGGCUCUUGGUGGUCACAGCCUGGGGGCAGGUGGGCUCUGCGGCUGGAUCAGCUAUGAUGUAAUCUCUCCAGAUGGAGGAAGUGUUCUCCCUGGAGAUAAGGGUCCAGCGGGCUCCAGCUGGAUCUGGCCCUGGGGCUGGAGCUGUUGUUGGCAUGGCUCUGGCCCUGGGGGGACUGAUGGAGGUGAGACUUGCUCCAGCUCUAGCACAGGUGGUAGAACUAGAAUUGGAGCUGGCCCGGGUCAUGGAGCUGGUCCUUGCUCUGGCUCUGGAGCUGGUGGGAGCUCUGGAGAUGGUCCUGGAGCAGCAUAAAGAAAAAGUAUCAUCAAGUAGAUGACCUCCCCUGAGGCUUUCCAAAGACAGGAAGGACCCCACUGCCUUAAGGGAACCCAGCCCGUGAACCCCCUGCAAAUCAUCUUCCCAGACUGCAGGGCCCUCACCUUCCAGCUCUGCCUCCACGGGCUCUGGAGGCUCCAGCUGGACUGGGAGGAGGGAGGCGUGGCCCUCCCACUCUGAGGUAGGCGAGCUCAUGUGCACACGGGCCAGCUUCAUCUGCGAAGAGACGGUACUGGGGGAAGGCAUUGGGCAACAGAGUCAGAGGCCUGGUCUUUCCCUCCACACUGCCCACUGAAGGCACCCUUAUUUGGUCUGGGCCCCUGUGCCCGCCCAUUCCCAUCCAGAGGAGAGCCCCAGUCCAGUCCCGCCUGUGUGGCUGUCCUGGUGGUGGCAGGAUGGCUCAUCCAGCAAGUUGAACACAGAGUCUGUUGUGAGUCUGUUCUUCCCACUGUCACUCUCUUCCUGAAGGGCUCGGACAAGGCCCACCCCAGCCCUCCAUGCAUUUGUGCAACUGGACUGAGGACUGAGGCAGAUGUGGGACCAUGUUGCUCACACACCUCCUGUUCUGGGCCUGCUGGAGGUGGUCCGAAGAAGUGGAUGUGGAGAAGGGGAGGCAGAUCAAGAUAGGACUGUGGUGGGGAUGGGUCUCUAGGGGACAGCCCAGCCCAGCCUCCAUUCUGGUUCCCAGGGGUCCUGGGACCCAUCUACAGGUAUUUGAAUCCUGACCUCCUGGAAUGGAAGCCAUCAGACCUCAGCCUUCCAGUGAGAAUCAAAACAUGUGUGAGAUGCAGGGUUUUGCCAGCCUGGCCCCAGCCACAGUCCCCCAUUUCCCCCAACCCUGUUCUGUAGAGACAGGGUGCUCUCCUUCUGGACCCAGAGGCCACUCAUUUUAUUACGGCAUCCUAUGGUCUGCCCUCCUGGUUUUGAUAAUGGAAGAUGCUUCCGGAUGUAAAGGUGGUGACGAGAGCAUCAUUUGGGAUGUGCGAUGGACGACAGGACCUGCGAAUGAUGUCUAAUGUGACUGUUUGACUCUCAGAUUACAACUGAGACAUAGGGGUUGUAUCUGUUGGACACCUGGAUUCACUGAGUUAUGCUAAGUGUCUCCAAAAAUCCUGCACUUAGUAGGUGCUUCUCAUACAUGGUUGAAUGAAUGAAGUCCAGCCAGAAGCAUCCCAGAUGUCUGAGUGGGCCUGGGGCCCCUCUGUUCCCCAGACAUCCUUAAUUGGCCCCACCAAGCACAAGGACCAGGACCAUCUCUCUGGAUUCUGAAACUCCUUGACAUGUUGGUGUCCAUGUGCUUUGCCAAACUCAGAAAGACCACAUCCCAGAGACGGGUGAGACAGACUACUUUCCAUGAGGAAGAACCAAUACUAACCAUGAACAACCACAGCUCACCCCACAGCCCCAUUUGCAGAGCCAGGCACCAGGUCAGCACCCACCAUGGCUGAUCCCAUUAGUCCCUCCAAGAACUCCAUGAAGUUUAUCCUCUCCCACCCCGCUUUUCAGAGGAGCAAAGUGAGGCUCAGGGAGAUGCAGUGACAUUACAAGAAUUACAGCUGGCAGUGGGCAGUCACCCAGUAAACAGCUGGUCCAGGACCUGGUGGGAUGUGUUGAAGGCCGAGUAGUUGAACACAAAGGUGGUGACAUUUGAGAUGUUUCUACCUAGGAAAGCUGGUGCCAUGGACUUUGUCAGUCUCCAUCAGGUCUGCUGGAGGGACCGCAACCUGCAGGCCUCAUUUUAAUUCACAAUGGGGUCAUCUUCAGUCUGGGUGGAAGGAGGAGGGACACAAAAACAAUCAGUGGCAUCACCGUGAACCACUAGGAGGAUGGAGGUUACUUUCUUUCUGCCUAUGUAGCUGGUGGGGAGGAGGGGAGGUCGUGAUUCCUUUGGGAGUGGGACUGUGGGACACUCUAGUGAGAAAACACUGGGAGCAUCUCAGGGGAGUCUCAGAUUUGGGUCUGGAUUCUGGUACUGCCUCGGUCAUCUCAGGGUCCUGGGUGUGAAGACCCCUCUGCACUAAUGCAGAGAAAAGACCCGGCCCGGGUCAUUGUUGGUGGCCUGGAGCACCCGCCCCCUGUCCAGGGAGAUGGCAUAGUUGAAACCAUUCACUAACUAUGUGACCAUCUUGUGGGUGCAGUUCUGCAAACACAGUGCCCGGGAGAAAGACCAGGAGGGAUCAGGGGCCUGCCUGGACCUCACCAGGGGGAUCCCACACCACAGAUCAGGCUCAGAGGGGCACCUGCAUAGACCUCCAGCCAGGGCUGGAAUGUGAUGACACCUGGUGGGCUUGGGAUUCACAUAGGGAUAAAGGAGCUCGGUCCCCGGCACUCAACUUCCUACCCUGCCAGCCAAGAUGUGGGGUAUGAAGAUGACCCAUUGCCAGACUUCCAACAUCUCACUACCUGCUCCUACCCGGGAUGUGUCCCCCCUCAUCCCCACCUUUCCUAAGUGCACCUCCCAAACACACACACACACCUUGAGCAUCAAGGGGUGUGGGGCUGGCCAGGUGGGAGCACAGUUGUGACCUGACCUGGAGUGGCCUGCCCUGGGUUGCCCUGUGUUGCCUGAGGGUUCCUCCUGCCAAAAGGCCAGAGGUGUUAGAGGUGAGAGUUGAGUCAAUGUCUACAGUGGGUAAAAAGGCUCUCGUCAGAUUUCUAGAAGCCAGAGCUUCGGAAAGUUGGGGCACAACAUGAGAACAUCCUGCUCUCUUGAGUGUCUCCAUUCAAGUGAGCUGGAUGUGAGGCUGUGUCUAGAAUGUGGGUGCCUGGUAACCAAAGUUCUAAGUUCUGUUGGGGUCUGUCACCAAAGAAGUGAGGUCACUUCUCAAGGUUCCAUUAUCUGGGCCCCUUCCUUCAAUAAGACCCACCCAUAGCCCCCUCUGGGCUGUUGACUGCUCAUCACCCUUGCCCAUGUCAUCUCCAUAAUUGUACACAAAUAUCCAUCACUGCCCUCCCCACAGCACUCUGGGAAUGGGACCAGGGCCCUAGCUUUGAGGAGACACAGCUGAGUUCAGACCUGUUUUUUCCUACCAAUUCUGAGUCCUGGAAAAGCCAUUUGUGCCUCUCAUGGCCUCCCCAGUCUCCCAACCUGCACAGUGGAGAUGGUGCUAAAACCAAUUUCCUAGGCACAUCAUCAGAUGUAUAUGUGAUAAUACCUAUAACUUCUGUGGGUUAGAGUCACAUGUGUCUGAUACAGAAACUUAGAGAUGGAAGAUGGAAGAUUGGGACACUCACUGCCCCCUGGGCCUCAUUUUCAGGUCUGCACUUUUCAGGGGUUGAAAUUAGAAGAAAUUCAUAUAUUGUGAUCCACUGGCAAAAGUUUCCCAGGGUCUCCUGUUUUACUUAGAAUCAGACCCAAGUGCCUCAUGGCGGCCUGUGUGUGGGGCAGCCUCCACAAUGGCUCCCACUGCUCCCUGCCUCCUGGAGUGCACGUCCUUAUGUGACAACUAAGUGGUUAGUAACUGGCUUCUGAUCAACAGAAUGCCCCCAAGGUGAUGGGAUGUCACUUCCAAGUUUUAAUUACGAAGAGCCUGUCACUUCCUUCUUACAGGCCUUCUUGGAUUCCCUCAUUCUCUCUCUCCUGUUUGCAGCUCUCUCUCUGUCUUAUCUCUGGAACUGAGAGAGCAAGCACUGAUGCUUUCAGUUGCCCUGUGUAGAGGCUCCAUAGGAGAGAACUGAGGGGGUGCCCAGCCAACAGACGGGCAGGAACUCAGACUCUCAGUCCAGAUGAAUCCUGACAACACCCAUGUCAGCGAUCUUGGGUGGGAGUCCUCCCCCAGUUGAGCCCUGUUGAGACCCCAGCCCCUGCUUCAUAGAGAAUUUGAAGCUGAGGCACCCAGCUAAGCUCUGCCUGAUCCCUGGCCCACAGAAAGUGCAGGAUGUUAACUAUUUGUUCCUUAUGGGUGGAAGGUUUUGGAGCAAUGUUGUCAUAGAGGAACAGAAACUAACACAGUCCACCAUGUCCCACGAUCUGGCCCUAUCACCCUCCUCUCUCUUAUCAGGCUCUCUCCAGCCACACCUGCCACCUUUCUGACCUCCUCUGGUCAAACUCACUUCUUCCUGUGAAUCUCUGCACCAGGGGUGCCUUCUCCCUGACAUGCUAACUGUUCCCAGAUAUAGGCAGGGGUGGCUUACACUUGUCAUUCUGGCUACAGCAAAUAAUCACCUCAGUGAGGCCUUUCAGAACCUCCCAGCACAGUCUCACAUCCAGAGGUGCAUGACAUUAUUUAUUUUGUCUUGAUCACAUUUAGAUAAAGUUGAGUCCAUGAGGAAGGGCUGUCUGCUUUGUCUGAAGCAGAUGCAAAUCCUGGUUACACCAGGCACCCAGGUUGAAACACCACCAGAUCCUGAAUUCAGUUACUGCUGAGAUCCUCCCAGCAAUUCGGUAAUUCACUGGUUCUCCUGAGGUCACCUUUCCCCUGAGACCCAACUCCCAGCCGGCCCUUGGCUUAUUAGAUGAACAAUGAGAUUUUCUCAGAGACCUCCCAGCCAGGACAAGAAAUGUUUUGAAAUGUUCUCUGUAUUAACUUUUAGGAAGUGGGGAUGCUGGCAGAAGUAAUUUGGGUGUGUAUGUACAAUAGUUUCUCUAUAGGUAUUAUUCAGACAAAAUAGUGUGGCUAUGGGAUAUAUCAAGAAAAUGGAUAAAUUGAUCCAAUUUUUUCAUGAUGUGAAGUCUUUAGAGAUUAAAUAUCAUAGUUAAGAGCAUAGAAUAUGAGCCGACAUCUUAUGUUCAAACUCCAACUCAAUCGCUUACUGGUUAUUUGUAUUGAUCAAGUUACUUACCUUGUUGGUACCUCAGUUUCUUCAUCUGUCAGUUGACAGUAAUGAUAAGCGUACCUACUUUGUAAGGCCAUGGAGAGUACUAAAGGAGUUAAUGUUUGAAAAAUGCCUGUAACACCUAGCAUUUACAGCACUGUAUCUAUAUAUUAUGAAUAAAAUUUAAAAAUUGA